rnacentral:misc_RNA from 1 species
UUCUAUUUUAUCUUUAUCUCUCUUUCUCUUUCUCUCUGACGAUAAUUCGGGGUAAAAAGAGAGAGAGAGAGAAGUAGAUAAUAUAAGGAGAGACAGACACACAGACGGUGAGAAGAGAGAGAGAUUGCCGAGUUUAACGACCACGACGUUCAAAGCACCCACUAUAUUCAAACGUAGAAGGAGAGGGAGGGAGGAGGAGGUGGUGGAAUCCUGAAAGAUAGGAGAAAGAGUUAGAGCGAGUGAGAGAACACCAAGAGGAGGAAGAAGAAGUAGUAGUAGAAGAAGAAGAAGAAGAAGAAGAAGAAGAAGAGGGUGGGUGUAUAUCUCGUGUGUCACGAUUAUUAUUUCGUAUUAGUUUUCUUCUUCUUAUCCCGAGAAGAAGCCGUGCAGCAGACAACAACACACGGUGGUGGUUGGUUGGUUGGAUUGGUGUUUUUUGAUCCGCCUUUUUUUUUUCUCUAACGUGGAAAACGAAAAGCAGUAUAGUAGUCAGUGGGUGUGCUGUUGGUUGUGUGUCCUUUAAUAUCAACCGUGUUUGCACUGUGUGUUGUCCUGUGGGAGUUAUAGUAGAGUUUGUUGCCAGGGUUGCUUGGGAUAAUAGUGCUGGUGGUGUGUAGUGUGGUAUAACGUUCGAUUAAGAAGAAAAGGGGGUGGUAAUCAACAUACAUCACAUACAUACAUACAUACAUACACAAUCUCUCUUUCUCACACAAAUAAAAGAGGCUAUUUAAAAAACAAAAACAAAAAACACUCGGUAGCAGUAACAAAAGUAGUAGUCAUUUAUGAAGAAAGAAUUUAAAGAAAUCAGGCGGGAAGUUUUGAAUCCGACGAUUAAUAAUAAACGGAAAACGCGUUGGGUCCCUUCCCUAUUUUCUAAUUACAUUUGUCGUUUAUUAAUCAAUUAUGACAAAUGCAACAACAACUGUUAACUCGGACGAAGGAUGUAAUUCGUCGUCAGUGUUAAGAUAGUUGUCUAAAAAAAAAAACAACAAAUAAAUCAAGUUUGUGUGUUAGUUUUUGAGUGAAAACACCCCAAAUCAACAACCCCCAGCAAAGUAGCAGCAGUAAUCAACAACAACGACAACAAUUGUGUAGUUUCCAUUAUACCCUUUGGUUAUUAUUUCUUUUUGGAGGGUAUUGGAAAAGAAGAAGAAGAGAAACAAAGGGGAAGCAGAAACAAGCUCUGGUGGUUUUGGGUAGAAGUUGUUCUAUCGUUGUUCAGUUAAUUUAGUUGAUUACUUUGGUUUUUAAACCCAAUAAUAAAAUAACGGUGUUGGAUUAAAUUAAGUUAAUAAUAAAAGAAUUAAAUGAUGGAUCGGCCGUUAGAUAUUAACGUGGUGGCCCGUGGUGUGACGUGUGAUUAGCCCCCGUCGGUUUAACCAGCCGUUCAUAACGUGAAUUAGUGGUGUACGAUGUGGUGUUCGGCGACGGCCCUGGUCCUCCUCGUAGCCGUUGCCGUAAGUGGUGUCAUUUAUAAGGGCUCAUAUUCUAGGUUAUCCAAUCAUUUAGUUUAUUUAACAAGAAAUCCUACCAUCAUCGACUUUAUUAUUUACGCGUCGACCUCGCCGUCGUCGUCGACCUCGUCGUCGUCGACCUCGUCGUCGUCGGCGUCGUCGUCGGCGUCGUUGUCGUCGUCGUCGUUGUUGUUGUUGUGGUGGUGGUGGUGGUCAACAACGUCCUCCUCCACUUCUUCUUUGCUAACCGAGUGGUGGUCUUCAUCAUCAUCAUCAUCAUCGUCGUCGUCGGCGGUGUCAUCGUCGUCGUCGUCGUCGUCGUCGUCGUCAUUGCAGUCACCGCUGUCAUCGUCAUCAUCAUCCUUGCUGACGUCGACAACGCGAGAAACAACACCACCUGUACUGUUCUUCAUCAACAACAACAACAAAAGCAGCAGCAGCAACAAGAACAAUCGUUGGCGAAUAAUUAUUAACAAUAACAACAACAGCAUCAACGAUCUCAACUUUAACUAUUACAACAACGAUCAUCAACCCAAUUCAAGUUCCAGCAAAGACGCAUUUAGAACAAACCAAUCUAAAAGCAAUCUUAUUAUCUAUCCCAACAACAAGUUCAACAGGAAUACUGUUGUUAUUAGUUGCUGCUUCAAUAACAAUUGUUGCUUAGAUUAUUACCCUAGGGACAAUAAUAACAACAACUACAAUUACAAAAAGAACGUCGUUGUUACUAAUACUGUUGGGUUAUUGUUCAACGUCAUAUACAUACUUUCCAAUCGAAUCAACAACGCCAUCAGCAGCAACAGCAUCAACAGAAACAACUGUGGUGGCAGUUUCAUCGUUCUCUACAAUAUCACCAACAGCCCUUGCAGUGGUGGAAUCAUCAACAGUAACAGCAUCAGCAGCAGCAGCAGCAACAACAUCAUCAUUACCAACAACAGCAACAGCAGCAGCAGCGUUAGUGCUAGUGCUUAGUGAUCAUCAAGAUUUGUUGUUGUUGUAAUUGCCUUCUUGCUUUUGGUUCAUCGAUAGUUGUCAAUUUUUUCCCCUAGUUUUAGUUGUCACUAAAAAAGAAAGAAAAAAGAGGGAAAGUGUGAAUACGAUUUGAAAAGUAGGGAGGAAGGAAAGAGAAGAAUUGACAAGUAUAAUAAUAUAUAAGUGGUGUGAGAUUUUGGUGUGGUUCGUAAAGGAAAAAGGAAACAAGGAAUAGGAAAAAGAUAUAAAAAAGAAAAA